rnacentral:tRNA from 1 species
GGACUAUAGCUCAGUGGCAGAGCGCUUGCCUAGCAUGUAGGAGGCACCGGGUUCAAUCCUCAGCACCA